GGAUAGCUCAGUUGGCAGAGCAUGAGACUCUUAACCUUGGGGUCAUGGGAUUGAGCCCCACAUUGGACA